rnacentral:rRNA from 1 species
AGCAGCAUCACCACUGUUUUGCAGAUGCCGUGAUAUCUCAGAAGUCAAGCAGAGUUGGGCCUGUUUAGUCCUGGGAUGGGAGACUACUUAGGAAAACCAGAUGGAUGCUGGGA